GUCCAGACAUAGUAAGGAUUGACAGACUGAGAGCUCUUUCUUGACUCUAUGGGUGGUGGUGCAUGACCGUUCUUAGUUGGUGGAAUGAUUUGUCUGAUUAAUUCUGUUAACGAACGAGACCUCAGGCUGCUAAAUAGUUAUGUGGAGGCAUUAUAUUAUAUGUUAUGCUUUAAAUAGUU
rnacentral:ncRNA from 1 species